rnacentral:rRNA from 1 species
AGCCUCCCGAAAGGGAGAUUAAUACCGCAUAAUAUUACGGUUUCGCAUGAAACAGUAAUUAAAGGAGCAAUCCGCUACGAGAUGGACCCGCGGCGCAUUAGCUAGUUGGUGAGGUAACGGCUCACCAAGGCGACGAUGCGUAGCCGACCUGAGAGGGUGAUCGGCCACAUUGGGGCUGAGACACGGCCCAGACUCCUACGGGAGGCAGCAGUGGGGAAUAUUGCACAAUGGGGGAAACCCUGAUGCAGCAACGCCGCGUGAGUGAUGACGGUCUUCGGAUUGUAAAGCUCUGUCUUUGGGGACGAUAAUGACGGUACCCAAGGAGGAAGCCACGGCUAACUACGUGCCAGCAGCCGCGGUAAUACGUAGGUGGCGAGCGUUGUCCGGAUUUACUGGGCGUAAAGGGAGCGUAGGCGGAUUCUUAAGUGGGAUGUGAAAUACCCGGGCUUAACCUGGGUGCUGCAUUCCAAACUGGGAAUCUAGAGUGCAGGAGGGGAGAGUGGAAUUCCUAGUGUAGCGGUGAAAUGCGUAGAGAUUAGGAAGAACACCAGUGGCGAAGGCGACUCUCUGAACUGUAACUGACGCUGAGGCUCGAAAGCGUGGGGAGCAAAACAGGAUUAGAUACCCUGGUAGUCCACGCCGUAAACGAUG